UACAGGGGGUGCAAACGUUGCUCGGAAUCAUUGGGCGUAAAGCGCACGUAGGCGGUUCGUUAUGUCGGAUGUGAAAGCCCUUGGCUUAACCGAGGAAGUGCAUCCGAAACUGGCGAGCUAGAGUACGAAAGAGGAUCGCGGAAUUCUCGGUGUAGAGGUGAAAUUCGUAGAUAUCGGGAGGAACACCGGUGGCGAAGGCGGCGAUCUGGGUCGAUACUGACGCUGAGGUGCGAAAGCGUGGGGAGCAAACAGG
rnacentral:rRNA from 1 species